rnacentral:lncRNA from 1 species
CUUCCCCAGCUGUGUUCUUGUGCAAAAUUCAAAUACUUUUUUUCUCCCUGUUAGCAGCUGUGCAUUGGUUUAAGUCAAUCUUUAACAUUGGGAAAGGAACAAUAAAAUGAAAGGCAAAAAGCAGCAUCUUAAAACUUGGCAAGGGAAAGCAGCUUGGAAUGGCAGCCAAGAAUCGUGCUGUGGUGCAAAAAGACUGGCAUCCACGAUACCACUGCAAUCAGGGGUUUCUCUUCUUUUACCAAUCCCAUCGGCAAGAGAGAAAUAAUGAUUCCUUGAAACAGUGUUAGAGAGUCAAAAAAGUUAAAAUGGUUGCUUGAUGAGUCUACUCAGAUGCAGGAUACGUUUGUUGAAGAGUUGGGCCUAGCAAGAUGGCAGCUCAUGUGCAAUAAGUAUUCCCGUGAAGUGCCACUGCUAAGAAGGACUCCAUUAGCUCCCCAAAAGAAGAUGUGUGAUCAGAAGAGGCAGCUGGUUAGAACCCCUAAUGGCUGCUGGACUACCACGCUUCAUAUUCUUAGUUUAAAAAGUUCCUACUUAAAAAGCGACACAAGAGACAGAACUUGGAGGCUUCACAAGUGAACAGCCAAGAGAAUGAAAAGGCCUUCUAUACUCUUUUUGUUUGUUUCAACAUGACUACAUUAAGCACCUCUGCAUUAUUUUAAAAUCUUCUUGACUAGGAGUAGCAAAGAAUCCUGUGGCACCUUAUAGACUAACAGAUGUUUUGGAGCAUGAGCUUUCGUGGGUGAAUACCCACUUCGUCAGCGGGUAUUCACCCAUGAAAGCUCAUGCUCCAAAACGUGUUAGUCUAUAAGGUGCCACAGGAUUCUUUGCUGCUUUUACAGAUCCAGACUAACACGGCUACCCCUCUGAUACUUGACUAGGAGUGGGAUUUUUCAGAAUUGCCUUCGGGAGUUAGGUGCCAAUGGGAGCUGAGUGUCUAACUAGGCUUACUUUAAAAUCUUAGCCUUCAACUGCUGUAAAUUUUCUGACGUUUGAUUUUUGUUGCAAUUUUGGAGUUAAAUGAAAAAAAAUCUGGAAAAAAAGUCAACUAAAGUUUGGUAUGUUUUUUGACCAGUUCUAUUAUCGAUAAAUGUUUCUCUAUGCAACCCAAAGAAAGAGUAGCCAUAACUGCUGUUGUAAAUGCCCUUGUUUCGUCCUAUCUGCAGUUUUAAUUUUGAGGACAUAGUGGGCUACUGAUUUUGCUCCUGUACAUUUUCCCUCACAGAUACCUGCAGGUGCACUUUGUACAACUUAGACGUCUAUGCAUUAUUGCCAACCUCAGGCCUCCAAAAUUGAGAGAUUAUCUUAAGUCACGAGAUUUUUUUUAAAAUAUACAUUUUGGAUUUGCUUUAUUUGCCUUACAGUUUUAGAAUAUUUAGGUUACAGUUGGGUCACAUGUUCAACCUUUACUCUGCAACCAUAAGGGCUAGGAACUUUUUUUAAAAAAUAAAAGCUGAGAUUGUCACA